rnacentral:tRNA from 1 species
UGGGCCCGUGGCUCAGGUGGUUAGAGCGCACGGCUGAUAACCGUGAGGCCCUGGGUUCGAAUCCCAGCGGGCCCAUCCA